GACGUAGGGCGCGAGCGUUGUCCGGAUUUAUUGGGCGUAAAGAGCUCGUAGGCGGUUUGUCGCGUCGUUCGUGAAAACUCACAGCUUAACUGUGAGCUUGCGGUCGAUACGGGCAGGCUAGAGUUCGGUAGGGGAGACUGGAAUUCCUGGUGUAGCGGUGAAAUGCGCAGAUAUCAGGAGGAACACCGGUGGCGCAGACGGCUUGCUGGACCGUGACUGACGCUGAGGCACGAAAGCGUGGGUAGCAAACAGG
rnacentral:rRNA from 1 species